GUUGUAUGGUUAAGUGACUAAGCGUACACGGUGGAUGCCUGGGCAGUCAGAGGCGAUGAAGGACGUACUAACUUGCGAUAAGCGCAGAUAAGGCAGUAAGAGCCGUUUGAGUCUGCGAUUUCCGAAUGGGGAAACCCAACUGCAUAAGCAGUUACUGUUAACUGAAUACAUAGGUUAACAGAGCAAACCGGGGGAACUGAAACAUCUAAGUACCCCGAGGAGAAGAAAUCAACCGAGAUUCCGGUAGUAGCGGCGAGCGAACCUGGAUUAGCCCUUAAGCACUCGGUGAAGUAGGUGAACAAGCUGGAAAGCUUGGCGAUACAGGGUGAUAGCCCCGUAACCGACGCUUCAUCGAGCGUGAAAUCGAGUAGGGCGGGACACGUGAUAUCCUGUCUGAAUAUGGGGGGACCAUCCUCCAAGGCUAAAUACUCCUGACUGACCGAUAGUGAACCAGUACCGUGAGGGAAAGGCGAAAAGAACCCCUGUGAGGGGAGUGAAAUAGAACCUGAAACCGUGUACGUACAAGCAGUAGGAGCACCUUCGUGGUGUGACUGCGUACCUUUUGUAUAAUGGGUCAGCGACUUAUAUUCAGUGGCAAGGUUAACCGUAUAGGGGAGCCGUA
rnacentral:rRNA from 1 species